CCCUGCUUUGUUCUUGUUUACGGUUAUUGUUAUUUUUAAACGUUUUUUGUUCAACCGAUCUACCCGAAUGGGUUUAGUUUAAAGUAAGUAUUUUACUUUGUUAGUAUUAUAGAGCUGGUGGUGUAUGGUGGUGGGUUUUGGCACGCUCUAAGUUUAGAUUCAGUUAAGUAGGAAGUAGGUAGUGGGAAGAUUCCCCGGAAGACUCACCACAUUCCGAUGACCUUUGUUUUCCAACGGGAGCAGCUUAGAUCCUUUUGUUUUCUAUGCAGACCGUGUGAGGGUUUGUUUUUUCUUUUGUUAUUAUUUACCCUCUCUUGGCCUGUACCUUACCGUGGUGAGAGGGCUUUUAACUAAAGCAGGCCUAUGUUUUGCUUACUGACAGUUUUCUUACAGUCUCUCUCCCCACAAUCUCCCUGUCUCUCCCAUUCUACCAUUUUUUUAAGGUGUAGCAGACAGUUGGUGUGUCCAGAUGCAGCAUGGAUAUCAUCAGAUGUAGUCCCAUAGACCAACUCCCAUUCAUUACCAAUAAACUUUACCAUAGAUAACAGAUACAUGUUUUCCUUGUAUUAUUGCUAUGUGUGUACACUUUUAUGAGCUGGUGAACGAAUAGUUGAAUAGUUAGGAAAGUCCUUAUUGUGUUGUGAUUAUUAGACAUAUCUGACAGCACCCACAAUUACAUUUUCACAAAACAGAAUUGUUUGCACCACCUUUAAAUAUAGAGCACAACUGGUAGGACACCAGAACAAAUUAAAAGACAUUCAGGGUGGAUCUGACAAAAAAGGGUAGGAUGUAGCUAAGUCACAAGGGCACAUUACAAGACAAGGAGAUAUUUAUUUUGCUUAGUGCAUAGCUAGCUAGCUAGUAUGAACUCUCCCAAGUCUUUCUAAAUAGGCCUAUAUCAAAAAAUAAUGGUAGAUCUUAAAUUAUUUAAGAUGUUAGCAAAUUAACUGGCUGGCUUGCUAAAAAGGUAGAUGAACAAGCACCGUAUAUCACUUUUCUCCUUCUCCAUUUUCUCCUUUUUAUAAAAACGAAUUUCUACUCUAAACAAUUUCAAUUGAAAUGCAAAUGAUGAUGUAAACGGCUAAAAUGGAACACUUUAUUUACCGGGG
ensembl:lncRNA